rnacentral:rRNA from 1 species
UCUUCGGGAUAGGUAGUAGUUAAGGUGAUGGCUUAACUAGCUUAAAUUCUCGUAGUCGAAUCUGAAAGGUUGAUCGACCACAUUGGGUCUGAAAAAACCCCAAUGCAAGUAAGUACAGCAGUGAGGAAUUUUGGUCAAUGGCCUAACGGCUGAACUGGCAACUUGGAGAAGUGGCAAGUCUUAUUUUGAUUAUAUUAUAUGUAAUCUAUAAGAUUGUAUUAAAAUUGAAUAAAGCUUUGUUUAUAUAUUGAUAAUGACAGUAUAUAUAUCGUGUCUUGACUAAUUACGUGCCAGCAGUCGCGGUAAUACGUAAGAGACUAGUGUUAUUCAUCUUAAUUAGGUUUAAAGGGUACCUAGACGGUCAACAUAGCUUUUAGAAUGUUAGUAUUUGACUAGAGUUUGAUAUAAGAGGGCAGUACUUGAGGAGGAGAGAUGAAAUUCUGUUAUACCAAGGGGACUCGGUAAAGGCGAAGGCAGCCUUUUAUGUAAAAACUGACGUUGAGGGACGAAGGCACAGAGAACAAACAGGAUUAGAUACCCUAAUAGUCUUUGCAGUAAAUAAUGAAUGCCAUAG